UACGGAGGGUGCGAGCGUUGUCCGGAAUCACUGGGCGUAAAGGGCGCGUAGGCGGCCUGAUAAGUAGGGGGUGAAAUCCUGCGGCUUAACCGCAGGGCUGCCUUCUAAACUGUCGGGCUCGAGCACAGUAGAGGCAGGUGGAAUUCCCGGUGUAGCGGUGGAAUGCGUAGAGAUCGGGAAGAACAUCAGUGGCGAAGGCGGCCUGCUGGGCUGUUGCUGACGCUGAGGCGCGACAGCGUGGGCAGCAAACAGG
rnacentral:rRNA from 1 species